CUAUACCCAAACCACUUUGAGUUGCAGAUAGGCGGCAAGUGAGUUCAUCCCCAUGAGCAUAGACAGGUUCUAUGAUUGGGGUGAACGAACAUAGCCCCCUUGCAGCUUCAAGUAGGAAGGG
rnacentral:antisense_RNA from 1 species